rnacentral:rRNA from 1 species
GACGAACGCUGGCGGCGUGCUUAACACAUGCAAGUCGAACGGAAAGGCCCUGCUUUUGUGGGGUGCUCGAGUGGCGAACGGGUGAGUAACACGUGAGUAACCUGCCCUUGACUUUGGGAUAACUUCAGGAAACUGGGGCUAAUACCGGAUAGGAGCUCCUGCUGCAUGGUGGGGGUUGGAAAGUUUCGGCGGUUGGGGAUGGACUCGCGGCUUAUCAGCUUGUUGGUGGGGUAGUGGCUUACCAAGGCUUUGACGGGUAGCCGGCCUGAGAGGGUGACCGGCCACAUUGGGACUGAGAUACGGCCCAGACUCCUACGGGAGGCAGCAGUGGGGAAUAUUGCACAAUGGGCGGAAGCCUGAUGCAGCAACGCCGCGUGCGGGAUGACGGCCUUCGGGUUUUAAACCGCUUUCGCCGGUGACGAAGCGUGAGUGACGGUAAUGGGUAAAGAAGCACCGGCUAACUACGUG